ACGAACGCUGGCGGCGUGGAUAAGACAUGCAAGUCGAACGGGAGAAUUGCUAGCUUGCUAAUAAUUCUCUAGUGGCGCACGGGUGAGUAACACGUGAGUAACCUGCCUCUUAGUGGGGGAUAGCCCUGGGAAACCGGGAUUAAUACCGCAUACGAUUGAAAGAUCAAAGCAGCAAUGCGCUAGGAGAUGGGCUCGCGGCCUAUUAGUUAGUUGGUGAGGUAACGGCUCACCAAGGCGAUGACGGGUAGCCGGUCUGAGAGGAUGUCCGGCCACACUGGAACUGAGACACGGUCCAGACACCUACGGGUGGCAGCAGUCGAGAAUCAUUCACAAUGGGGGCAACCCUGAUGGUGCGACGCCGCGUGGGGGAAUGAAGGUCUUCGGAUUGUAAACCCCUGUCAUGUGGGAGCAAAUUAAAAAGAUAGUACCACAAGAGGAAGAGACGGCUAACUCUGUGCCAGCAGCCGCGGUAAUACAGAGGUCUCAAGCGUUGUUCGGAAUCACUGGGCGUAAAGCGUGCGUAGGCUGUUUCGUAAGUCGUGUGUGAAAGGCAGGGGCUCAACCCCUGGAUUGCACAUGAUACUGCGAGACUAGAGUAAUGGAGGGGGAACCGGAAUUCUCGGUGUAGCAGUGAAAUGCGUAGAUAUCGAGAGGAACACUCGUGGCGAAGGCGGGUUCCUGGACAUUAACUGACGCUGAGGCACGAAGGCCAGGGGAGCGAAAGGGAUUAGAUACCCCUGUAGUCCUGGCAGUAAACGGUGCACGCUUGGUGUGCGGGGAAUCGACCCCCUGCGUGCCGGAGCUAACGCGUUAAGCGUGCCGCCUGGGGAGUACGGUCGCAAGAUUAAAACUCAAAGAAAUUGACGGGGACCCGCACAAGCGGUGGAGUAUGUGGCUUAAUUCGAUGCAACGCGAAGAACCUUACCUGGGCUUGACAUGUAAUGAACAACAUGUGAAAGCAUGCGACUCUUCGGAGGCGUUACACAGGUGCUGCAUGGCCGUCGUCAGCUCGUGUCGUGAGAUGUUUGGUUAAGUCCAGCAACGAGCGCAACCCCUGUUGCCAGUUACCAGCACGUCAAGGUGGGGACUCUGGCGAGACUGCCCAGAUCAACUGGGAGGAAGGUGGGGACGACGUCAGGUCAGUAUGGCCCUUAUGCCCAGGGCUGCACACGUACUACAAUGCCCAGUACAGAGGGGGCCGAAGCCGCGAGGCGGAGGAAAUCCUGAAAACUGGGCCCAGUUCGGACUGUAGGCUGCAACCCGCCUACACAAAGCCGGAAUCGCUAGUAAUGGCGCAUCAGCUACGGCGCCGUGAAUACGUUCCCGGGUCUUGUACACACCGCCCGUCACAUCAUGGAAGCCGGUCGCACCCGAAGUAUCUGAAGCCAACCGCAAGGAGGCAGGGUCCUAAGGUGAGACUGGUAACUGGGAUG
rnacentral:rRNA from 1 species